rnacentral:rRNA from 1 species
UUGUACACACCGCCCGUCACAACAUGGGAGUGGGUUGCAAAAGAAGUAGGUAGCUUAACCUUCGGGAGGGCGCGUACCACUUUGGGAUUCAUGACUGGGGUGAAGUCGUAACAAGGUAACCGUAGGGGAACCUGCGGUUGGAUCACCUCCUUA